UGGAUGAUCUCCCUCAUCUGUUGCCCAGCAGACACCUGGCCAUCCUGACUCUGAUACCAACCUCAGAUGACUUCAGUCAUCACAAACAACUGUGACUAGCCUGUGCCCAGACAAGAGACUGCAAAAGAAUACUGUGUUCUGGGAGGGUGACAUUUUUGUGGCUGUGUGAACCAGUAAAUUGUCAGAUCUAUCAUUCUAACCCUGACUCUCACCACCAAGACCUACAAACCUCCAGUUGAGGAAGGCACAGGCUAACAUUCACAUAUAUGAACCUUCAUUGAUAACUUACUGACUCCAGCUGUUCCGGUUCAAGCAUCCCAACCAGCUUCAUCCCCAGCCUGUCUCUAGAUCUGCCUUAGUGCCGGCCAGAUCUUGUGGUGAGUGGACUUUGCCAAUGGGCCCGCACAUGGAGCUGCUUGUUCUUCCCUGAGACCAGUCAGUACCUUUUAAGAAAGCUGGUCCUCUUUACUGCUCUCUCGGAAUAACUCCUCUUCGCAGCUACUGCUGGCUCCUCCGUCCUAUUCUGACCACCUGCCUCUAGGAAGCCAAGGACUUCUGACCUUCCCAAGUGUCUGCCUUUGAACACAGCACCAAUCUGGGAAGCAAGGGCAUUGAAAUUUCCUCUCAGCACAACACAUAUCCAGCAAGUUUACAGAUAUUUUGAAGGGCUGCUAAGGAUUCCAGUAUUCAUUUGAUAAUACACUUUGCAUUGUUUUAGCGAACACGCAAGUAAGAACUUUCAAGAAUAUAGAAGCUUGUGCAUAUGGUAUUGUUCUAUUUGGCCUCUAUGAGAUACGUGGUAAUGUCACUUUACCAUUGUCUAUCAGGCAUCUCUCUGAGGCAUUUUCUGUCUUUAAAGUCAGGUUCCACUUAUGGAGUAGAGGUCUUCAGCCUUGUACUUCUCACACUUGUGGAGAUUAUACAUCUCCACUGCUUAGCCACUCUCAUAUGCUUCUAAGUCUUCAGUACAAGAAAGUAUCCAAAAUAACUCAGUGUCUGUCUUUAAGAAUUUUCACAUCAAUAAAGGGAGUGAAAUGUCAUAAAAGCCAAAUUUAUUAUCUCCCUAAACAUAUACAUUACAGCAACUGGGACCAUCCAACAACCAAGUUUCUUUUGCAUUUUGUUUUACGAGAUAGGGUUUCUUGGUGUAGCCCUUGGUGUCCUUUUCCUUUGUAGACCAGGCUAGCUUCCA